rnacentral:lncRNA from 1 species
CUGGUGUUGGUAGUAGGGUUGUGCAUGGUAAUGUGGUUUUUAUGUUGGUGCAUGCGGUUACAUGGGCGCCUACCUCAAGGCAGGCACGUUCCAAUCUUCAGAGUUUGAAUUUGCUAGCAUUUGCAUUUAAUGAUGACUCUUCUUUUUUUCUCUCUGCUUGUGCUUUAUAGAUGGACGAUUCAGGGGAAGUGGAGUUAACAGAUGUCCUCUCUUUCUUUUAAUAUUACUCAUAUGUUGAUUUUAUUAUUCGAAUUCCUCUUUUUAUGAAAAGCCAAGGAAGCAGCUUGGCUGUGAUGCACAGUUUUAGUCACUGUUCUAUGUAUUCAUAUGAUUGUUCAUUGCAUGUUAUUUAUGUUUCAUCAUUAAAAUUGUCUUCCUU